UGGCUCAAAUGGUAAAGCAUCUGCCUGCAAUGCAGGAGACCCAGGUUCACUCCCUGG
rnacentral:tRNA from 1 species